AGGGGAAUAUUGCACAAUGGGCGCAAGCCUGAUGCAGCCAUGCCGCGUGUAUGAAGAAGGCCUUCGGGUUGUAAAGUUACUUUCAGCAGAGGAGGAAGUGCUGGUGGUUAAUAACCACAGCAAUUGACGUUACUCGCAGAACGAAGCACCGGCUAACUCCGUGCCAGCAGCCGCGGUAAUACGGAGGGUGCAAGCGUUAAUCGGAAUUACUGGGCGUAAAGCGCACGCAGGCGGUCUGUCAAGUCGGAUGUGAAAUCCCCGGGCUCAACCUGGGAACUGCAUCCGAAACUGGCAGGCUAGAGUCUUGUAGAGGGG
rnacentral:rRNA from 1 species